UCAAUUCUCCAUCCUAUCCUUGUAGUAGUGUCCCUCUAGGUGUUCUCCACCUAGUUGUAUUUUAGAAAAGAGGAGGAGAGUGAGAGUAGAAGAGAGGAGGAGGAGCCGGGCUUGUCGGAAUCUUCUCAGCUUUUGUACCUCUACGGAUCUGCUUCAACUCGAGUUGCUUCUAGGAACUCCGCUCGACUGAGUGCUCUAGUCCAGGUACCGGGUUAGAGUAGUAAUCGUUAGCAUAGACGUGGUGUCUAAGCUAGUGUUUACCUGAGUUUGCGCCCAACCCCACGGAUAGUUGUGGUAGCCCCAGAGGUGACAGCUCCGACCAGGCCUUUGUAUUCCACCACGUUCGGGUUGGUGUUUCGUAGGGCUGUUGGCGGCCUGACCCCGAUCACCUUUUCCCAGUCUUUUCGAGGAUCGGAAAGGUACCGUCGCUCCGAAGUAAGUGAAGUUUAGUGAGCCUGACCCUUUAGCAUCUAGUAAUCCCAGGAAUACCUUAGGAGAAUUUCUCUUCCUACAAAAAUAUUCUUUCUACCUUAUCUUUGGAUGACCUUGGCCCCUUUCUAGUUCACUUCUCGUUCUCCGUGGAAAUCGAUACCUAGGAAUACUCCGGGUGAAGGCUACAGCAGUAUCCAUGCGCUUGCGGAUUUAUCUGUUUGCGUUAACAAAUACCAACAGUGAGCCGUUGGAUCCAGCCUCUUCAGCAUCGACAACAUCCAUCCUUUAGAUAUGAAGGGAUAGAAGAUGCUACCAGAAUGUCGCCAGAACCAAUGGCUCAUUCUGAUGUAAUCAGAAGAUGUUGUAAAGUACUCGAUAAUUUUGACAAAUCUUUGAAGCUUCCAAUACUCUUCUGGGCCAAGAAUCCUCCCGAAAAUGCAUGGAAAAAUUACAAGACAUGGUUUUGUAUGCCUCCAACUUCAGUAGAUGCUGCUUCUGAUGAGAGCAAGAAACGGAAGGCCACUCCUGGAGCUUUGCUGCGGAGGAAGAUAUCUCGUGUUGGUGCUGGCCAGAUCCAAUAUCUUCCAGCACAAGAGAAAAGACCAAAUCCAGAACUUCCAUAAUUGGAUGGAGGGUAGUCCAGAAACAAGUACUCGAUCCACCCCUGAGUCUCCAAUAAUUGGGUUGAUCAAGAACUCGACUACUCUCUCCCCUAGUGUGGACAUUUCUGGGACGUCAAAGGAACCGACUCUUAGGGUACCCGCGUCUACUCCUUCUGCGGCUUGUGAAGGUACUUCAAGUGCUGCUGGAUGUGGAGGUGAUAGAGCUGAAGGGUCAAAGAAUCCAACUGUUCGACUAGUACCCUUUCAGUCGAUGCCAUAAUCUACCCAGGAAGAUUUGGGUAAGGAGCUCUUUGAUGAUCCAUUGUUGUCUGUGGAGAAUAUGAAAAAGCUUACAGAUUCCAUGCAAUGGUGUUUCAAAUAUACCAAGGAUGUUGCCAAUCGAUCUUUCUUGAAGUCUCAUGCUUUAUAUAAGACUGUUGACAACCGUAAAACCUUGGAGCAGCAGAAUGCCCUGAUUGCCAAAUGACUAGAUGAAUCCCAUGCUGCUCGGAACAAGCUGCAUGAAGCAAACCGAAAGCAUCAUCUAAAAGUUUGUGACAUGAAGCGGCAGAUCAAGAUCCUCAAGGAAGAGAAAUCGAAGAUCCAAGAAGAGAAAUCAAAGCUUCAAGAACAGUUACAGAUUGCUCAGGCUUGUUCUCCAGGUGACCAUAUUCGACUGGUAGCAGCAGCUCAGGUCAUUGUGGACAUGGUCGGUUCUGAAGAGGGGUCGUCGAAUAGCAAGUUGUAACGAAAAUGGCCUCUCAUGCCAUAUUUCAAUAUAAUGUUUUGGUGAUUGAUAUAGA